AGCGGGGUACGCAACUGGCGAUAGGCGCGCAAGGCCCAUGGGCCCCGCCGCUGACGUGGAGACCGGCAGAAAGCCCUGUUUUUCUGCAAACCACUGGGGAGCGUGCCGCGCGGAUGAGCAGCCAAGCCCCGCAGCGAUCCGUCGUUCGCCUGGGCAGCCCUU
rnacentral:ncRNA from 1 species